UACGAAGGGGGCUAGCGUUGCUCGGAAUUACUGGGCGUGAAGCGUGCGCAGGCGGCUUCUCAAGUCAGGGGUGAAAGCCCAGAGCUCAACUCUGGAAUUGCCUUUGAGACUGAGUGGCUUGAGUACGAGAGAGGUGAGUGGAAUUCCCAGUGUAGAGGUGAAAUUCGUAGAUAUUGGGAAGAACACCGGUGGCGAAGGCGGCUCACUGGCUCGUAACUGACGCUCAUGCACGACAGCGUGGGGAUCAAACAGG
rnacentral:rRNA from 1 species